UGAGGAAUAUUGGGCAAUGCCCGCAAGGGUGACCCAGCAACGCCGCGUGGAGGAUGAAUGUCGUAAGAUUGUAAACUCCUGUUAGAGGGGAAGAAUAGUACCGGUUGGACCGGUAUAUGACUGUACCCUCAGAGAAAGCCCCGGCUAACUACGUGCCAGCAGCCGCGGUAAUACGUAGGGGGCAAGCGUUGUCCGGAUUUACUGGGUGUAAAGGGCGCGCAGGCGGGAUAAAAAGUCAGUGGUGAAAUCCUACAGCUUAACUGUAGAAGUGCCUUUGAUACUUUUAUUCUUGAGUUCGGGAGAGAGAGACGGAAUUCCAGGUGUAGUGGUGAAAUACGUAGAUAUCUGGAAGAACACCAGUUGCGAAGGCGGUCUCUUGGUCCGACACUGACGCUGAGGCGCGAAAGCGUGGGGAGCAAACA
rnacentral:rRNA from 1 species